UUGGGAGGGUAGGGUGAGGCAGGAAACCGCGACACGCCUUUGUUGGGACUUGUUUAAGAGCACGGGAAUAGAAAAGCAGAAGAAGGGCGAGAAUAAAACAGGUUAAAUAAAGAAGAGGUGAACAUUUUUGGAUGAUCACUCAGAUUCCACACACCUUUUGGAAGGACAUGAUAUAAAGUCUAGGUGGCAAAUUUUGGUAGAAAGGAAACGGUUGAGGAGAAAAAAACAGAUUUUCAAUUCAGUAAUCAAAGCACUCCAGGUGGGCAAUGGUAUGGAUUCUGUAACAAAGAAAACGCGGCAAGAUGGAUCAGAAGUUACUGAAAGACUUAUUACAGAGACUGUAACCACAAGAUUGACGUCCUUACCACCCAG
rnacentral:lncRNA from 1 species